GGUUUUUUGAAUUUGACUAGAAAAUCAGGCCUGCCCACUGAUAAAGGGCUGCAGUAUUUUGACUGUACAAAGGUAGCAUAAUCAUUAGUCUUUUAAUUAAGGACUGGUAUGAAAGGUUAGACGGGGAUAGGCUGUCUCAAUUAUAAUAAUAAAUUUUAUUUUUAAGGAAAAGAGCUUAAAUCUUUCAAAGGGACGAGAAGACCCUAUUAAAUUUGAUAUGAUGGAUUAUUUUUAAUUAUAUAAAAGAAGUAAGUAUAUAUUAAUUUUACUGGGGCGGUGUGUUUAUAACUUUAUUAUAUUUUAAUUUAGUAAAUAGCGAGGUUUUGAUCCAAGGAGAUUGAUAUUAGAUAAAAUUACUAUAGGGAUAACAGCGUGAUAUUUUUUGAGAGUUCUUAUUGACAAGAAUGUUUGCGACCUCGAUGUUGGAUUAAGAAGUCUUAUUGGUGCAGUAGUUUUUGAAGAGGGUCUGUUCGACCUUUAAAUUCUU
rnacentral:rRNA from 1 species